AACCAUAGAAACCUGCGGAGUACCUGCGGAAGGAUCAUUAUGAAUUUGAACUUGUGUGGCUGUUUCAUUUACAUGAACGCUCGCAAUUCUUUUUCUGUGAACUGUUCUUGAGUUUUUUUUUCUCACAAUUUAUUUUGUGAGAGAGAGACUCGGGUCAUUUUUGUUUUCUUGAUUUUUUAUUCCAUAUUUUUUUUUGAGUAGUUCUUGCAAAAGAAUGAAAAAAAAUAAUAAACCAAGACA
rnacentral:misc_RNA from 1 species